rnacentral:rRNA from 1 species
AUACGUAGGGGGCGAGCGUUGUCCGGAAUGAUUGGGCGUAAAGGGCGCGUAGGCGGCCUGUUAAGUCUGGAGUGAAAGUCCUGUUUUCAAGAUGGGAAUUGCUUUGGAUACUGUCGGGCUUGAGGGCAGGAGAGGUAAGUGGAAUUCCCAGUGUAGCGGUGAAAUGCGUAGAGAUUGGGAGGAACACCAGUGGCGAAGGCGACUUACUGGACUGUAACUGACGCUGAGGCGCGAAAGUGUGGGGAGCAAACAGGAUUAGAUACCCUGGUAGUCCACACUGUAAACGAUGAAUGCUAGGUGUAGGGGGUAUCGACCCCUUCUGUGCCGCAGUCAACACAAUAAGCAUUCCGCCUGGGGAGUACGGCCGCAAGGUUGAAACUCAAAGGAAUUGACGGGG